rnacentral:rRNA from 1 species
CCUACGGGAGGCAGCAGUGAGGAAUAUUGGUCAAUGGACGAGAGUCUGAACCAGCCAAGUAGCGUGAAGGAUGACUGCCCUAUGGGUUGUAAACUUCUUUUAUAAAGGAAUAAAACGAGGCACGUGUGCCUUUUUGCAUGUACUUUAUGAAUAAGGAUCGGCUAACUCCGUGCCAGCAGCCGCGGUAAUACGGAGGAUCCGAGCGUUAUCCGGAUUUAUUGGGUUUAAAGGGAGCGUAGAUGGGUUGUUAAGUCAGUGGUGAAAGUUUGCGGCUCAACCGUAAAAUUGCAAUUGAUACUGGCAGUCUAGAGUACAGUUGAGGUAGGCGGAAUGCGUGGUGUAGCGGUGAAAUGCUUAGAUAUCACGAAGAACCCCGAUUGCGAAGGCAGCUUACUAAACUGUGACUGACAUUGAUGCUCGAAAGUGUGGGUAUCAAACAGGAUUAGAUACCCCAGUAGUC